GCCAGAUGCUGUCUAGGUAUGUGGGCUUUGAGGGCUAAUCUAUUUCUGUCCCCAAACAGGUUCCCUUGCUGGUGCCAGGACUCAGUUACCCACUGGAGACCUUUGUAGAGAGUCUCAGCAGCAAGGGCAUCUCAGACAUAAUCAAGGUGCUCGUGCUCCGGGAAGGCCAGAGUGCACCCCUGCUGAGUGCCCACAUCAACAUGCCUGUGAGUGAAGGUCUGGCAGCUGCCUGAGCCCUGGGCCAGCAUUCAAGCCUCCACAAGAUGAAGCCAGUCAGAUCCAGUGACUUCCAGUGUCACCAGACUACUUCCCCCCAACAGCAGUGUAGUGAGACAUCAGCUCCCUGUUCCUGUCAGACAGUCCCUUGCU
rnacentral:lncRNA from 1 species